AAUCCGUCGACUUUAAAAAUCGUC
rnacentral:tRNA from 1 species